GACUUCGCUGAACACAAAUAUUAGUGUUUCAAAAUGAUAAAUUGUAUUACAACGAUAAUAUUGUCAGUGAAAGUUUUUUUUUUGCAUUUUCACACACAAACAGCACUUUCACUGAUGAUAUUGUUGUAAUACAUUUUACUGUUUUGAACCACUAAUAUUUGUGUUCAGUGAAGCC